GUCCGAGGUAGGGCGCCGGUUGUGAGCG
rnacentral:sRNA from 1 species